rnacentral:misc_RNA from 1 species
GAUGAAGAACGUAGCGAAAUGCGAUACGUAAUGUGAAUUGCAGAAUUCAGUGAAUCAUCGAAUCUUUGAACGCACAUUGCGCCCCCCAGUAUUCUGGCGGGCAUGCCUGUUCGAGCGUCAUUUCAACCAUCAAGCCCUGCUUGUGUUGGGGUCCUGCGGCUGCCCGCAGGCCCUGAAAACCAGUGGCGGGCUCGCUAGUCACACCGAGCGCAGUAGCACAUCUCGCUCAGGGCGUGCGGCGGGCUCCAGCCGUUAAAGCACCCACCUUUCGCAAGGUUGACCUCGGAUCAGGUAGGAAUACCCGCUGAACUUAAGCAUAUCAAUAGCGGAGGA